UGCAACUUUGAAAUCGGUAUAAUUUAGGUAAGGCGUUCGCUCCCUCACAGAUAGAAACUUGUGCAGGUCUUUCACUGAACUCAAGCUCACAUGGGGUUUGAUUCGUAUGUGUAACUUGUGUUGCGCCCUUCUACCCAGAGCCCUUCUUUAUCCUAAAUUAAUUAACCCCUUUGAUUCGUAUCUGUAAUUUCUUGAUUAUACUUGAUACCCAUUACACAGAGCGCUGAAAUUUGAAAUUUCUGAUGUUGGUUUACCAUGGAAGCUCAACUGGGUUCGAUGCCCUCGUGCCGAAGAUAGAUUGCAUUUACUUUAACAACAAAUUGACAUUUAGAGCUGCCAGUGUCAAGUGUGUCCACAAGCAAGCUGAGAGACGUAUUGUUAAGAAGGUUGGGAAGGAGGAACACCAUUUAUGGAAGAAAAGAGAUUCUGCUGGCUCUGGGCAAAAGGCUCUUAAUCUUGUUAGAAUUGUUUCCCAAUGUCCUAAUGAGAAAGAAGCUGUAUAUGGAGAAUUGAAUAAGUGGAUAGCUUGGGAGACAGAGUUUCCAUUGAUUGCAGCUGCUAAAGCUUUAAGAAUACUGAGGAAGAGAAGUCAAUGGAAGUGUGUCAUUCAAGUGGCAAAGUGGAUGUUAAGCAAGGGUCAAGGAGCCACAAUGGGAACAUAUGACACCCUUUUACUGGCAUUUGAUAUGGACAAGAGGGUGGACGAAGCCGAAUCAUUAUGGAACAUGAUUUUGCAUACACAUACACGUUCCAUCUCUAAGCGAUUGUUUUCUAGGAUGAUCUCUUUGUACGAACAUCAUGACUUGCAAGAUAAGAUUAUCGAGAUAUUUGCAGACAUGGAAGAGUUGGGUGUAAAACCAGAUGAAGAUACCGUUAGAAGAGUCGGCCGUGCCUUUCAUAAACUAGGUCAAGAAGAAAACCAGAAAAUGGUCUAUAAAAGAUACGGCUGCCAAUGGAAAUACAUACACUUCAAGGGUGAGAGGGUUAGAGUGAGAAGAGAUGGAUGGGAUGAAGAUGAUGGAUGAUUGAAGAGCAGAGAUGGCUGAACACUAGCAUGAACAAGUUCAUAGAAUCAUAAGUUGAAAGAAAAUCCAAGAUCCAGAUUGAAGUGGAUGCCAUUCCUGUCAAGUACAGAGGACAGCCCCAUUGCUCCAACAAAAAACUAUUCAUAAAAUUGUACGGUCGGCAUCCACGCAUGGCAUGGGCAUGACCAUGCUCCCUAUGUUCUCUUCUUUUCAAAAGAUUGUCUAUUUUUCUUUAAGCUUAUUUGUUUGUGUCUCUCUCUCUAUAUAUAUAUGUAUAUAUUAAUAGGUUCAAAUAC